AUAGCCAGCUUCUCGUCGAGAUGCCGCAGAUCCUUGCACAGAUACGCCUCCUGGUGGUGACGCCUCUUGGUCAUGACAGUGCUCGGAUACAGCGCGUGGGAGCCGCACCGGUAAAGGGCGCCGGAUGCAACUGCGCUGAUCGGUAAUCUGCAUCAAAAAAAGAAGCAGACGCUUAGAUGAUGCUCUGUUGUCGUCCCCACUGCCAAAGCUGCCUUCAUACCUCUACCUGCCUUCGAGAGGAAUACUACGCAGAAAUGAGCACGUAUUUCGUCGUCAGUUGGCGCUCGACGACCUCGUCGGCCAUCGUCACCUUAUACUGGCUGCCGAGGGAACCAUGUGCACCAUGAUCACAUACCAUACCGAUGAACGAGACCGCCCAUGACGAUUACUUGGGAGACAUGCCAUUGAGGCCCAUAUUAUGUAUAAAAG